GAGGCAUUAGUGUAGUAGCAACACGACUCCCUGUGGCGGAGUUAUCAUGGGUGCAACUCCCAUAUGCCUCC
rnacentral:tRNA from 1 species